AGGGUGAGGGAGGGGGUGGGAUGGGUGGGGGGUAACGGGGGAAACUGGGGAAGUGGGGAACCGAGGGGCAACCAGGGGAAGAUGGGGUGCUGGAGGAGAGCUUGUGGGAGCCAAGGAGCACCUUGGACAUCUGGAGUCUGGCAGGAGUGAUGACGGGUGGAGGGGCUAGCUCGAGGCAGGGCUGGUGGGGCCUGAGGCCAGUGAGGAGUGUGGAGUAGGCGCCCAGGCAUCGUGCAGACAGGGCGACAUCAGCUGGGGACGAUGGGCCUGAGCUAGGGCUGGAAAGAAGGGGGAGCCAGGCAUUCAUCCCGGUCACUUUUGGUUACAGGACGUGGCAGCUGGUUGGACGAGGGGAGCUGGUGGGCAGGGUUUGAUCCCAGGGCCUGGGCAACGGAGGUGUAGCUGGCAGCAGCGGGCAGGUCUCCAGCUGGGGUGGACGUGCCCACCAGCUGCCGAAGGCCAAGACGCCAGGUCCGGUGGACGUGACAAGCAGGACAUGACAUGGUCCGGUGUGACGGCGAGGACAGAGGAGGCGCGUCCGGCCUUCCUGAACACCUUAGGCUGGUGGGGCUGCGGCAAGAAGCGGGUCUGUUUCUUUACUUCCUCCACGGAGUCGGCACACUAUGGCUGCCCUCUGGGCUCCCAGAACCCACAACAUGAAAGAAAUGGUGCUACCCAGCUCAAGCCUGGGCCUUUGAAUCCGGACACAAAACCCUCUAGCUUGGAAAUGAAUAUGCUGCACUUUACAACCACUGCACUACCUGACUCAGGAAUCGGCUCUGGAAGCUAGAGGAACCAGACCUCAUCAGCCCAACAUCAAAGACACCAUCGGAACAGCAGCGCCCGCAGCACCCACCCCGCACCGGCGACUCCAUCUUCAUGGCCACCCCCUGCGGCGGACGGUUGACCACCAGCCACCACAUCAUCCCAGAGCUGAGCUCCUCCAGCGGGAUGACGCCGUCCCCACCACCUCCCUCUUCUUCUUUUUCAUCCUUCUGUCUCUUUGUUUCUGAGCUUUCCUGUCUUUCCUUUUUUCUGAGAGAUUCAAAGCCUCCACGACUCUGUUUCCCCCGUCCCUUCUGAAUUUAAUUUGCACUAAGUCAUUUGCACUGGUUGGAGUUGUGGAGACGGCCUUGAGUCUCAGUACGAGUGUGCGUGAGUGUGAGCCACCUUGGCAAGUGCCUGUGCAGGGCCCGGCCGCCCUCCAUCUGGGCCGGGUGACUGGGCGCCGGCUGUGUGCCCGAGGCCUCACCCUGCCCUCGCCUAGUCUGGAAGCUCCGACCGACAUCACGGAGCAGCCUUCAAGCAUUCCAUUACGCCCCAUCUCGCUCUGUGCCCCUCCCCACCAGGGCUUCAGCAGGAGCCCUGGACUCAUCAUCAAUAAACACUGUUACAGCAA
rnacentral:lncRNA from 1 species